CACGUAGGGUGCGAGCGUUGUCCGGAAUUAUUGGGCGUAAAGAGCUCGUAGGCGGUGUGUCGCGUCGGCCGUGAAAACCUGCAGCUUAACUGUGGGCUUGCGGUCGAUACGGGCAUCACUGGAGUUCGGCAGGGGAGACUGGAAUUCCUGGUGUAGCGGUGAAAUGCGCAGAUAUCAGGAGGAACACCGGUGGCGGAAGGCGGGUCUCUGGGCCGAAUACUGACGC
rnacentral:rRNA from 1 species